GACGAACGCUGGCGGCGUGCUUAACACAUGCAAGUCGAGCGGUAAGGCCUUUCGGGGUACACGAGCGGCGAACGGGUGAGUAACACGUGGGUGAUCUGCCCUGCACUUCGGGAUAAGCCUGGGAAACUGGGUCUAAUACCGGAUAUGACCUCCUAUCGCAUGGUGGGUGGUGGAAAGAUUUAUCGGUGCAGGAUGGGCCCGCGGCCUAUCAGCUUGUUGGUGGGGUAAUGGCCUACCAAGGCGACGACGGGUAGCCGACCUGAGAGGGUGACCGGCCACACUGGGACUGAGACACGGCCCAGACUCCUACGGGAGGCAGCAGUGGGGAAUAUGGCACAAUGGGCGAAAGCCUGAUGCAGCGACGCCGCGUGAGGGAUGACGGCCUUCGGGUUGUAAACCUCUUUCAGCAGGGACGAAGCGCAAGUGACGGUACCUGCAGAAGAAGCACCGGCGAACUACGU
rnacentral:rRNA from 1 species